rnacentral:rRNA from 1 species
UACGUAGGGGGCAAGCGUUGUCCGGAUUUAUUGGGCGUAAAGAGCGUGUAGGCGGUUUGGUAGGUCCGCUGUGAAAACUCGAGGCUCAACCUCGAGACGCCGGUGGAAACCAUCAGACUAGAGUCCGGAAGAGGAGAGUGGAAUUCCUGGUGUAGCGGUGAAAUGCGCAGAUAUCAGGAAGAACACCCGUGGCUAAGGCGGCUCUCUAGUACGGUACUGACGCUGAGAUGCGAAAGCGUGGGGAGCGAACAGG